rnacentral:rRNA from 1 species
GCUCAGGAUGAACGCUGGCGGCGUGCCUAAUACAUGCAAGUCGAGCGAACAGAUGAGAAGCUUGCUUCUCUGAUGUUAGCGGCGGACGGGUGAGUAACACGUGGGUAACCUACCUAUAAGACUGGGAUAACUCCGGGAAACCGGGGCUAAUACCUGAUAAUAUUUUGAACCGCAUGGUUCAAUAGUGAAAGACGGCUUCGGCUGUCACUUAUAGAUGGACCCGCGCCGUAUUAGCUAGUUGGUAAGGUAAUGGCUUACCAAGGCGACGAUACGUAGCCGACCUGAGAGGGUGAUCGGCCACACUGGAACUGAGACACGGUCCAGACUCCUACGGGAGGCAGCAGUAGGGAAUCUUCCGCAAUGGGCGAAAGCCUGACGGAGCAACGCCGCGUGAGUGAUGAAGGUCUUAGGAUCGUAAAACUCUGUUGUUAGGGAAGAACAAAUUUGUUAGUAACUGAACAAGUCU